rnacentral:rRNA from 1 species
UACGAAGGGGGCUAGCGUUGUUCGGAAUACUGGGCGUAAAGCGCGCGCAGGCGGUUCUCCAAGUCAGUGGUGAAAGCCCGGAGCUCAACUCCGGAACUGCCAUUGAAACUGUUGAACUUGAGGACGAGAGAGGUGAGUGGAAUUCCCAGUGUAGAGGUGAAAUUCGUAGAUAUUGGGAAGAACACCAGUGGCGAAGGCGGCUCACUGGCUCGUAUCUGACGCUCAGGCGCGAUAGCGUGGGGAUCAAACAGG